ACUUUCAAAGGGUAUUAGCCACCCAACAACUUUAGGCGUUGUCAACUCUUGGUGCAAUUCCAAGUGAAAGAA
rnacentral:tRNA from 1 species